GGAGGGGGCGUAGCGUUGUUGGGAUUUACUGGGCGUAAAGGGCGCGUAGGCGGUAUGUCAUGUCAGGGGUGGAAAGGCCUGGGCUCAACCCAGGAACUGCCUUUGAAACUGGCAAACUAGAGUCCGAUAGAGGAUGGCGGAAUUCCCAGUGUAGAGGUGAAAUUCGUAGAUAUUGGGAAGAACACCAGUGGCGAAGGCGGCCAUCUGGAUCGGCACUGACGCUGAGGCGCGAAAGCGUGGGGAGCAAACAGGGAUUAGAUACCCUGGUAGUCCACGCCGUAAGCGAUGUGUGCUAGACGUUGGGGGCUUAGGCCCCUGGGUGUCGCAGCUAACGCAUUAAGCACACCGCCUGGGGAGUACGGCCGCAAAGGUUA
rnacentral:rRNA from 1 species